rnacentral:rRNA from 1 species
AUUGAACGCUGGCGGAAUGCUUUACACAUGCAAGUCGAACGGCAGCACGGACUUCGGUCUGGUGGCGAGUGGCGAACGGGUGAGUAAUGUAUCGGAACGUGCCCAGUCGUGGGGGAUAACGUAGUGAAAAUUACGCUAAUACCGCAUACGAUCUAUGGAUGAAAGCGGGGGAUCACAAGACCUCGCGCGAUUGGAGCGGCCGAUGUCAGAUUAGGUAGUUGGUGAGGUAAAGGCUCACCAAGCCGACGAUCUGUAGCUGGUCUGAGAGGACGACCAGCCACACUGGGACUGAGAAACGGCCCAGACUCCUACGGGAGGCAGCAGUGGGGAAUUUUGGACAAUGGGCGCAAGCCUGAUCCAGCCAUUCCGCGUGCAGGACGAAGGCCUUCGGGUUGUAAACUGCUUUUGUACAGAACGAAAAGGUUUCUACUAAUACUAGGAGCUCAUGACGGUACUGUAAGAAUAAGCACCGGCUAACUACGUGCCAGCAGCCGCCGUAA